rnacentral:rRNA from 1 species
UACGUAGGGUGCAAGCGUUAUCCGGAUUUAUUGGGCGUAAAGGGCUCGUAGGCGGUUCGUCGCGUCCGGUGUGAAAGUCCAUCGCUUAACGGUGGAUCCGCGCCGGGUACGGGCGGGCUUGAGUGCGGUAGGGGAGACUGGAAUUCCUGGUGUAACGGUGGAAUGUGUAGAUAUCGGGAAGAACACCAAUGGCGAAGGCAGGUCUCUGGGCCGUUACUGACGCUGAGGAGCGAAAGCGUGGGGAGCGAACAGG